GGAGGAAUAUGGCUGCCCGUAAACACACAUUGUGAUCUAGCAAGGCUGCCCUCUCGCUCUCCUCUCAUUGAUUCUCCACAUCUCGGGGUAAGAAGCAGACCAGCAGAUGGUGCUGCCAGUUACUAUUCCAUUAGGCUCUCUACACUUUAACCCCCAAAGGACUGGAUUGCUACACAAAUGCCUGGGAAUGCUGCUAAAACGGCUUUUCUAAUGUCAUUGUGAGCAGGGAGACACAGGCUGCUCUCUAUGGAUUUCCAUUGACUACAGUGAAACAGUGAUUUCGAAACCUCAGGAAAUCCGAAUGCGACAACAAUUGGAUUAACCACCCCAUCUGAUAUGAAUAUGAGGAGGGAGGGGGGGCCCAGCAAAAAACACAGCAGCUCACAGGAUCAACAUGAAGACGAAUCCCUCUCCUGUCUGGCUGUCUGCUUCCUGCUGAACUCUGUGGUUCUGUAAACAGCACAGUUAACUCAAAGUGCCAUCCAAAGACAAGGGAGGAGCACUACCAGUACAUCAGCAUCACGAAGAUUCUGAACUAGAAACUUUGUUUUAUUUAUUUAUUUUGUUAAAAUAUUGGAUUUUAUUUUUAUUUUUUUUGCAGACCAAUGUAGGUCAGUAAUUCUAGAAUCAAACAGUUGCCAAAAGAAAAAAAAAAAAAAAACACUUCAAAUCCACAAAAAACAUUUAUCAGCACAUUAAAGAGCACAGAAGGACCUUUUUUAUUGUGUUGUGUUACACGUUCCGAAAUGUUGCUGCAACUGUUUACGUAAGGUGUGUGUAUUG